ensembl:miRNA MIR539 microRNA 539
UACUUGAGGAGAAAUUACCCUUGGUGUGUUGGCUUUAUCACGACAAAUCAUCCAAGGACAAUUUCUUGUUGAGUAU